rnacentral:rRNA from 1 species
UGGCGGACGGGUGAGUAACGCGUGGAAAACCUGCCGUAUACUGGGGGAUAACACUUAGAAAUAGGUGCUAAUACCGCAUAAGCGCACAGCUUCGCAUGAAGCGGUGUGAAAAACUCUGGUGGUAUACGAUGGUUCCGCGUCUGAUUAGCUAGUUGGUGGGGUAAUGGCCUACCAAGGCAACGAAUCAGUAGCCGGCCUGAGAGGGUGAACGGCCACAUUGGGACUGAGACACGGCCCAAACUCCUACGGAAGGCAGCAG